rnacentral:lncRNA from 1 species
CCAAAAGUUUUCAAAUGUAUGUACCACAUACUAUUUAGCAUUUUUUGUGUUGUUUGCGUAAACAGAUAGGCAUGCCUACUGAAAUAGAGUGGAAUCCAAAAAGAAAAAAAAAGGAAGAAGAAACAAAGGCAGUAAAACAAUAUAAUUGAAACUCGACAAUAGUCCAACCCUUUUUGGAGCAUAUUGUCAUCUUUUUAGUGCACUUCAGCUAAAAAAAGGUAUGUCAUAUUUGGUUUGGAGAAAUUUCAUGGGAAUUUUGGAGGAAAGAAUUGUUUCCUGUGAAAAUACUGUAAAAUUCAUGAUGGCCGAUGGAACUAUGAAACUUAAAUAUAAUGGAUUUUACGUAAACAUGGGACUCCUUGAAACAAAUUACAAUAUCCAGGUUUUGCGUUACAUAUGCCAUAAAACCUGUUGUUUUGUGAAUUUUACUCUUUAAAGAACCUUAUAUUACCUCUAUCUUUUAUUGGCAGGAAUUUUGAGUGCAU